GUUCUUUAUUAUUGUAAGUCGCUUUGGAUAAAAGCGUCUGCCAAAUGAAUUGUA
rfam:Astyanax mexicanus Tnplaced_Scaffold4395, whole genome shotgun sequence.